rnacentral:rRNA from 1 species
CGGCGACGGGGUGAGUAACACGUGGAUAACCUACCUAUAAGACUGGGAUAACUUCGGGAAACCGGAGCUAAUACCGGAUAAUAUAUUGAACCGCAUGGUUCAAUAGUGAAAGACGGUUUUGCUGUCACUUAUAGAUGGAUCCGCGCCGCAUUAGCUAGUUGGUAAGGUAACGGCUUACCAAGGCAACGAUGCGUAGCCGACCUGAGAGGGUGAUCGGCCACACUGGAACUGAGACACGGUCCAG